UUAGUAUACUAACCGAAAAACAAUAAACUGUUAGUAUAUUAAGAUACUCUCAGUAUUUGUAAGUAUACUGGCGAUAUGUAAAGGAAAUAAUAAGUAUACUAACAUAUAUUUUGAUAUACUGGUUAACAUAAUAAUUAUAGCUCUAAGAGUUUCCAACCCCUUGGGUUGAACUACUUUUUCAGCUGGAAAGUUCCGGACGGAGUGGGCGACCGACCGAAUCAAAGUGUCUUGUAUUCCAGAUUUCGGUCUUCGUAGCGGUAUAGGAGGAAGAGGAGGAGGAGGAGGACGGGAAAUAUGGUUUACUCGGCGGGCCAUUCCAGUAGACGGGACGGGAAGGAACCAGUUUGCGAUCGAGGAAGCGGUUGGCAACAAACAUAUUCCAAUCUGAUCCUGCCGGAAACCAUGCGUCCCCGUGUGGUCCCGCGUGGCUUUCGUAGAACUUACGGAAGCAGCCACGUUUUCUCGUACUCAUACUCCACAAACCCACGUUGUCUCGUACUCCGGUAAACAUCAAUCCGUCGGAGAUCCAAGAUUGGCGUCGCAUCCGGGUUUCGAUCAGCUCGUCGAGGAGCAAAAGUCCAACACGACCAAGAUGCUGCCACGGCCGCCUCAGAAGAACACCAACAUCCAAGCCGGAAGCUGCGGUCAAGGCAAAUCCCGAAGAAAGCCAAGUUGGAGAAGAAUCGGCGAUUCGCAAGUGAAAUUAGGUGAACAAGUGAAUAUUUUUGUAAAAUUUUUACAGAUUGAAUAAAAAAAACAACAAAAA